AGGAUACACUGCUGCUGGGGACUAGGACCGACUGUCCCUACUCCCGGUACCUACGGCUGUGGCUAGGGAUCUGGGCCGGCUGCCCAGCAUCCCUGUAGGGCCGGCGGGGAGACCUUGGUCCAAUCUCCACCUGCCGGCUGGAAGUCCGACUUGAACAGUGAUACCCCAGAUAGCUAUGCCAUGGAGCCCAUUCGUAUAAAGAAAGACUAUGUGAAAGACUUUGGCUCCAUGGCAAUUGAAC